GACGAACGCUGGCGGCAAGCUUAACACAUGCAAGUCGAACGCCGUAGCAAUACGGAGUGGCAGACGGGUGAGUAACACGUGGGAACGUGCCUUUCGGUUCGGAACAACUGAGGGAAACUUCAGCUAAAACCGGAUACGCCCUUCGGGGGAAAAUUUACGCCGAAAGAUCGGCCCGCGUCAGAUUAGGUAGUUGGCGGGGUAAUGGCCCACCAAGCCGAUGAUCUGUAGCUGUUCUGAGAGGAAGAUCAGCCACACUGGGACUGAGACACGGCCCAGACUCCUACGGGAGGCAGCAGUGGGGAAUACUGGACAAUGGGCGCAAGCCUGAUCCAGCUAUGCCGCGUGGAUGAAGAAGGCCUUCGGGUUGUAAAGUCCUUUCGGCGGGGAAGAUAAUGACGGUACCCGCAGAAGAAGCCCCGGCUAAUUUCGUGCCAGCAGCCGCCGUAAAAC
rnacentral:rRNA from 1 species